rnacentral:rRNA from 1 species
UACGAACUGUGCAAACGUUAUUCGGAAUCACUGGGCUUAAAGGGUGCGUAGGCGGCUUGUUAAGUAGGGUGUGAAAUCCCCCGGCUCAACCGGGGAAUUGCGCCCUAAACUGGCGAGCUGGAGUGAGAUAGGGGUGUGUGGAACUUCCAGUGGAGCGGUGAAAUGUGUUGAUAUUGGAAGGAACGCCAGUGGCGAAAGCGACACACUGGGUCUCAACUGACGUUGAGGCACGAAAGCCAGGGGAGCAAACGGG